rnacentral:rRNA from 1 species
AACGAACGCUGGCAGCGUGCCUAAUACAUGCAAGUAGGACGCAGAUGCGAACGGGUGAGUAACGCGUAGGUAACUACCUAUUAGAGGGGGAUAACUAUUGGAAACGAUAGCUAAUACCGCAUACUAGUAGCUGGACCUACGGUUUAUGAGAUAGUAAGUAGGGUCAAGGCCUACCUAGGCAACGAUACAUAACCGACCUGGUAUGUGGAUCGGCCACACUGGGACUGAGACACGGCCCAGACCCCGACGGGAGGCAGCAGUAGGGAAUCUUCGGCAAUGGGGGGAACCCUGACCGAGCAACGCCGCUUGAGUGAAGAAGGUUUUCGGAUCGUAAAGCUCUGUUGUUAAGGAAGCGGUACUUAACCAGAAAGGGACGGCUAACUACGUGCCAGCAGCCGCGGUAAUAC